CUCUGUUCCCAAGGAGGGCACAAUCCCUCUGCUCCCUGCCCCGCUCCAGCCUUGACCACUGCAGGGACAGAGUUUUCUCCACCCCAAAAUUCCAACAGCAAAGCCAUCCCGGAUUUUCAAAGAUGCUGCAGCACGAAUUCUUUGGCUGCUGAAAACUUUGGGGAAAAGCUGGACACUUUAGAGCCCUCGAGCAGCGUGGUGUUAACAUUCCCAAAAAGCACCAUGGCAACCUCUCAGUGUUCUUGCCUUCGUGGUCAGCAAGUAGAAUCUCCAAAGACCUGACAGAAGAGCAGUGACUUCCAAGGCUGUUCUGCUCCAGCUUUUCAGGAAUUGCAGAAAUCCCAGCCACACACCCAGAAAUCCCAACCACACACCCAGAAAUCCCAGCCAUGCAUCCAGCAUCCAGGAAAGGACAAAGAGAAGGGGAUCAGGUGAGGGUGACAAAAGCAAUCUGGACACUGCAGCUUCUUCCAAGGACUCCCAGCCCUCCAGGGACGUGCUUCUCUCUGCAAACUUUCUUUCGCUCCAUUUCUGCAAGAACUUCCUGCAAACCAUGUCCCUGAGAGGAUUAGUGGAGGGGAUACCAAUUUUAUUUAUAUUUAUUUAUAAAUGGACUGUAGAGACUUGGCCCCUUUUUAAAUAUGAGAACAAUUUCCAGGCCUCUUUCAGUUGUGGUUAUUCCACUUCAAAAAAGAAAAACCAAACCCAACAAACCACAGAACAAUAGAGAAAUAUGAGAAGUUGUGGAAACCCCUCAAACUUUCUCUAUUUAAGUUUUGAGUUCCUGGUGGUCACAGGGCCAGGUGAUGCUGCCAGUUGUGGGGUUUUGGUUUUUUUUGUGUAGUGCCUGGCCCAGAGCAUUUGAAUUAAAUGCAAAGAUGGGAUCAAAUCAAACAGAAUGACACCUCUAUUUUUUAUUUUUUUUUUUUGGCCAGCCUGGAAGCCUUUAACAUUUUGGAAUUUGAGUGUUUGCAAAACAGGGUUGCUGGACUCCAGUAAAUGAAGUGUCCGGAUGUCGGUGGUGAUUCAUAAAAGCAAUUAAAAGAGGAAAGUGCUUUUCCUCUGAGCGUAAUGCCUUGGUUGGAGGAUGUCCUUAAGUGAGUGUGAAGUGCUCCAGCAGUGGUCAGGGGAUGGGGGCUCUUGUGUUCAGGUCAUGGAUCUGUUUCCAGCAAACACUUCUUUAUCACGUGGUGCUGCUGAUUAAAACCAAAUUAUUUUUCUCACAGAGUCCCAGAGCGUUUGGGGUGAGAGGGGAGCUCCAGAGAUCACCCAGAACAACCCCCCUGGCCAGGCAGGCUCACCUGGAGCAGUGACAGGGACACAUCCAGCUGGGGCUGGGGUGGCUCCAGAACCUCCCUGGGCAGCUGUUCCAGGGCUCUGCCACCUCCGUGGGAAGCUCUUCCUCAGGUUGAGGUGGAACUCUUUGAGUUUUACUUGCUGGCCAUUGCUCCUCGCCUUGUCACCAAAACCAGUUUGGCACCCUCCUCUGACACCUGCCUAGGGGAUGUUUGUGUGGAUUUAAC
rnacentral:lncRNA from 1 species